UACGUAGGAGGCAAGCGUUGUCCGGAGUUACUGGGCGUAAAGCGCACGCAGGCGGUCCCAUCAGUCUGGGGUGACAGUUUCCGGCUUAACCGGAAAAGGAUUCUGGAAACUGUGCGACUUGAGGGCUUCAGAGGGAUGUGGAAUUCCAGGUGGAGUGGUGAAAUGCGUAGAGAUCUGGAAGAACAUCAAAGGCGAAGGCAGCAUCCUGGGAAGUUCCUGACGCUCGGGUGCGAAAGCCAGGGGAGCGAACGGG
rnacentral:rRNA from 1 species